AUUGAACGCUGGCGGCAUGCCUUACACAUGCAAGUCGAACGGCAGCGCGGGAGCAAUCCUGGCGGCGAGUGGCGAACGGGUGAGUAAUAUAUCGGAACGUGCCCAGUAGUGGGGGAUAGCCCGGCGAAAGCCGGAUUAAUACCGCAUACGACCUACGGGUGAAAGGGGGGGAUCGCAAGACCUCUCGCUAUUGGAGCGGCCGAUAUCAGAUUAGGUAGUUGGUGGGGUAAAGGCCUACCAAGCCUGCGAUCUGUAGUUGGUCUGAGAGGACGACCAGCCACACUGGGACUGAGACACGGCCCAGACUCCUACGGGAGGCAGCAGUGGGGAAUUUUGGACAAUGGGCGCAAGCCUGAUCCAGCAAUGCCGCGUGCAGGAAGAAGGCCUUCGGGUUGUAAACUGCUUUUGUCAGGGAAGAAAUCCUCUAGGCUAAUACCUUGGGGGGAUGACGGUACCUGAAGAAUAAGCACCGGCUAACUACGUGCCAGCCGCCGCGGUAAAAC
rnacentral:rRNA from 1 species